rnacentral:rRNA from 1 species
CAGUAGCCGCGGUAAAACGAAGGGGGCUAGCGUUGCUCGGAAUCACUGGGCGUAAAGGGUGCGUAGGCGGGUUUUUAAGUCAGAGGUGAAAUCCUGGAGCUCAACUCCAGAACUGCCUUUGAUACUGAAAGUCUUGAGUUCGGGAGAGGUGAGUGGAACUGCGAGUGUAGAGGUGAAAUUCGUAGAUAUUCGCAAGAACACCAGUGGCGAAGGCGGCUCACUGGCCCGAUACUGACGCUGAGGCACGAAAGCGUGGGGAGCAAACAGGAUUAGAUACCCGCGUAGUCCCUGUCUCUUAUAA